CAGUAAUAUGGACAUUGGGGUAAUAGGAAUGAAAAGGCAAAAAUGCGAGACUGCAUUCUUGGGACAGUAAGAAUCAGAUAACUUUGUUUUGCUCUUGCAAAUACCUCUAGCAGGUCUAGGAACCUGCCUUCUUACAUUGCUUGAAUGGAAAGAAGAAAUGCUUCCAGACCAUGCCAUUGAGGAUGGACUUAGUGUUAUAAGCGGUAAGAAGCAAGAAUAGAGAAGCAAGAAACUUGGGCUACUUUUUGUUAUUUAAAAAGAAAAAUGCGUGCCUUAGGUACCUGUUUAUACAAUAAUGAUGGUCACAUUUUAGGUUUUCCAGUUAAGAAAAAGAGGCAUAGGACUGAAAAAGGGGGAAAAAAUUAAGAUGUCACUGAUUCAAAUCAAUAUCAUGGUUCACCUUCAAAU